rnacentral:rRNA from 1 species
UACGUAGGUCCCAAGCGUUGUCCGGAUUUAUUGGGCGUAAAGCGAGCGCAGGUGGUUUCUUAAGUCUGAUGUAAAAGGCAGUGGCUCAACCAUUGUGUGCAUUGGAAACUGGGAGACUUGAGUGAAGGAGAGGAGAGUAGAAUUCCAUGUGUAGCGGUGAAAUGCGUAGAUAUAUGGUGGAACACCGGAGGCGAAAGCGGCUCUCUGGCGUGUAACUGACACUGAGGCUCGAAAGCGUGGGGAGCAAACAGG